rnacentral:lncRNA from 1 species
UACAAAUAUCAAUAUUAUAACUUAGUAUUAGAUGCUUAAACAUUACAUUUAUACUAAAAUAUUUAUUUAUAAAACAAACAAACAUGUUGAUUCAACUUGUACAAAGCCUAAAAUGGGCAUCCCAAAUUGAGGUAAGACAAACUUAUGGCCAUCCUUAAUUACCACCACUUGUUGAGUGCAUAUAAUUUGGUCUAUCAACCGAGUCCUUUGUAUGUCAAUUAAUCCUUGCUAGCUAACAGCCACAGCCCCCC